CUAAGUAUUGCGCCUAGGCAUCGAAAGAAAGGUGUUGUCUUCGUGCUUCGUCGCCGUCGCCAUGUGAUUCCAAUGUCUGGAUUCAAAAUAUUAAACAAUCCUUGCUUUAAAGUUUUUGCACAAUUGGAUGAAAAAUAACUUCUGGAUCAAGAAGUGUUUCAUCGGAAUUUAUUUAGAGGGCAAUAUUUUGGAUAAGUUACUGAACUAAAGGAUCCAAAAGGAAUAAAGAUUUGGAAAAAGUGAUUCAACCAAGUUUUGAAAAAUUUGACCAUAAUUUC